AUUGAACGCUGGCGGCAGGCCUAACACAUGCAAGUCGAGGGGUAGAACACUUCGGUGUUUGAGACCGGCGCACGGUUGCGUAACGCGUAUGCAAUCUACCUUGUACAGGGGAAUAGCCCAGAGAAAUUUGGAUUAAUGCCCCCUAGUAUAUAACCAUCGCAUGGUGGUUAUAUUAAAGUUCCAACGGUACAAGAUGAGAAUGCGUCCCAUUAGUUAGUUGGUAAGGUAACGGCUUACCAAGACGAUGAUGGGUAGGGGUCCUGAGAGGGAGAUCCCCCACACUGGUACUGAGACACGGACCAGACUCCUACGGGAGGCAGCAGUGAGGAAUAUUGGUCAAUGGGCGCAAGCCUGAACCAGCCAUGCCGCGUGCAGGAAGACGGUCCUAUGGAUUGUAAACUGCUUUUAUACUGGAAGAAGCCCUCCCACGUGUGGGAGAUUGACGGUACUGUAGGAAUAAGGAUCGGCUAACUCCGUGCCAGCCGCCGCGGUAACAC
rnacentral:rRNA from 1 species